GGCGUGAGCCACCGCGCCCGGCCCCGGCCUAAUUUCUUUUUUAAAAGCAAACAAUUCAUCCUUAAGUAUUAGAAAUAGCAUAAAUUUUAUUUUAUUCUAGAAUAUUAUUAAAUUCUAAAAUAGCAGUUUUAAAUAAUUUUAAAUUUAUGAAAGUUGAAAAAAGUUUUGAAUUUUAUUUUAAAACAAGUCAAAGAUAUAUACUUAUUUUUGGUGUUUCCGCAUAGGCAUAAGGAACACUUUUGGAUUUUAAAAAUAACAACUUAUUGGAUGAUAGUGAAGUUACAGAGAUUAUAGUAGGUAUACCUGGAGAUACCAGCAGGAACAUAGUAGAAAUAAUAAGCCAAAAACACUUUUAUUUAUACUGUAACCAAUCUCCUUGGAAAACUUUAGAAAACACAAAAAUAUACAAGCAUACAUUCCAUUUAUUCAGCCUGAUGACGUCAUCACACAUACAGCCUCUGGAAAACCCCACUCUACACUCAAGAGAGAAUGAAAAGUGAAAAAGACAAAGGACAUUUUAGUAUUAUGAAAAUGCUUUUGACCUCAAAAGCCCCUGAAUCAAAGGGAAAGGUGAAAAGGAAAUCGCCAUUGGCAAUGGUAGAGGCUAUGGAAGAUUGGGUCUUGCAAAAUUUAUUAGAAGACGUUUCUGAAGAGAAGACCUUCUGAGGCACCCCUUUGCAGAGAGACCAUGGUUAUUCAGGUUUGGGCAUCUGGCAGAUAUUUUCUUGAAAAUGAACGAAGUGAGCCUGUCUCAAGGAAACUGACAGUAUUUGUUGUCAAUGAUAAAAUUCAAGCUUUCAAAUGGAAAUUAGAAUUUUGGAAAACCCAAACCCGCCACCAUGAGCUUGACAGCUUCCAGUCAAGCUGUCCCCGGUGUAGACCUCGUAUUUGAGCUCCAGACUCUCACUCUACCUAUCUAUAUAUAUACUGUGUCCACAUAAAUGUUUCAUAUUCUAAAUUUAA
rnacentral:lncRNA from 1 species